ACAAAUCAAAGAAACCUAGCUUAACUUCAAAUCGAAGAACUCCCUUAGCUAAACCUAGCUUUUCCCUCUCCGUCAACAGGCUCCUUCUUCUCUCUGCCGCUAACGGAAUCAACCCGCAAAGCUGAUAGAAUGGCCAACCUUGUUAGGUUCAGCUCCUCCGUCCCCUCCCCCAUCACUAAAGACACCCGUGGUUGGCUCCUCGACCCUAUCUCGCUAGCUCGAGCUUCUGCCAUUUUAAGUUUUUCUUUUUCCCCUCUAACUUUGGUGUUUCUCAUCAUUGCCUUUUAUUUAGAGAUCGGUAGAGCUCUCACUUGUGCUUCGGUUCAUAUAGGAGAGAUUCGGCCUGGCAGAUUGAGAGGGAAUCAUAGGCAUCAUGAUUGCAACGAGACAUUUGUCCUUUGCGGUGCCCUAAUCAAAUUUAAGCUCUAAAUGCAAGUGGUCUUGACAAAUUUCUUAAAUCAAUAGGAAGAAAUCCCUCGUAUGUUGAUUUGGAGGAAGCUUCCAGACAAGAUUGCAGCUUCUGGUUACUAUGUGGUUGUUCCGAACUUCUUUUAUGGUGAAAUAGACCUUUAGGAGAGUGGCUAAAAGAUCAUGGAACGGUUAGUUAUUUUUAAUGAUUCAACAUUAUUUCUUUGUUCAUAAUGAUUCAACAUUAUUUCCCCAUGAUCCAAACCACAAGCUACAAAUCCACCAUAUCCUCUCUCAUCCUCUCCUCUUUCUCCAAUGAAACCGCCACAAACAAGAACAAGAGUACAUUCAGUUUCUGCUAUGAUUUGAUCCUCUGCUGAUUGGAAGAACACUAGGAAGAACAAGAAGUACAGAAAGAGGAACACUGAAAAAAGCAGCAUAACAUGUCACCAUAAACAUGCUUCUUCUUCUUCUUCUUCUUCUUUUUAGGAUGUAUGGUGUGGCCUUUGAAUUGGAUUCGCAUCAGAUCAUGCUUCUGCUUCUGUGGAUUGUGUGGUGGCAAGGAAGAAUGCUUCUUCAAGAGGGAACCUUGAUGCUGUUGAGAGAGCAACACAUAGGGAAGAGCGUCCAUGAUCUUUAAAAAGAACUAACCCUAAGAAAUCUAUGGAAGAGUUCCGAGCAGCUAGUCAAAAACUUGGUGAUAGCGUGGGUGUAAAGUCUUUAAUGCAAAGCACGGGACUUGGAAUGAUUGCUGGCCAGGUGCUGUGGCAAUUGCAGUUGCAAAUCCAACUGAUCUUGUGAAAGUUAGAAUACAAGCAGAAGGAAAAUUGCCAGUUAUAUUAGAAAAGUUAAGAAUUGUAGAGAAAAAAUGCCAAGAAGUGGAGGCCAGAGUUAGGGAGCUUGAUAAACAGGUGAAGCUACUUGUGAGGAAGUGGAAGGAAAUUGUGGAUGAGGGGGUGAGGUUGAAUCAACCGGGUGAAACAGCUUCUCUCAUGGCUGAUGGGGACUCUCCACCGCUGAAAACCACCCAAAACGGGCAUCAUCAGAUUCCUGAUUUUGUAUACUCGCCAAAUCCACACGAAUCAGAGCCAGUGCUUAGCAAAUCUAUGUGGCGCAUUGCACUGUGACAUUGAAAUCAAUUUUGGGUUGAAAAAAUCAAAAUGUAAUAUUGCUGCCGCUGCAAGAAAUAAACAUCUGUGCGAGGUAUGCAUCAGUCUGUCUAUUCAUUUGUUUUAACCAGAUUUGUUUCAAGCCACCAAUUUAUCUCAAAAGAUUGAAAAGUUGAAAAUUAAGCCCUUGAAGGACUAAACAAGUGCAACAUCAGUUGCUAUGUGGGUUUGGGAAAUUUAUCAAACUGAGUAAAUCAUUUGAAUACAAUGGACUUAUUUAGUUAUUCGGAGGUUAAAUUGUCUAUGUUUUUAAGUAUGCAAGGGCUAAAUUGAUGCUAUAAACAAUUUAUAUCUGUCUCUAAUUGUUUUCUACAGAGCUUAGUAGAUAGUUGUUUUCCUGUUAAUGACGGUCCUGUAGCAAGCCGACUCCUUGGUAUGAUAUUAGUUUCUUUUUUGUAAAAUAUUGCACGUUAUUGGUAGCUACUGCUUUCUUACAUUGACAAUUUGUCAAAAUUCUUCUUGCACCAAUUCUGUGAUGCAAACAGCUGCACUGGAAGCAGGAAACCUUUCUCCAGAGGCCGCCGGGUAAUUUAAUUAAAAUAUAUAACUGAUUUCUAUCCCUUUCUUUAAUUUACCUUAAGAGGAUCAUUCUGAAAAAGCUUAAAAGAUUUAGAAAUCCUGAAGAAUUUAACUUGACAAAUUGCAUAAUAAUGAGAGAGUGAAUUUUCAAAGAGUCCUUAUUGCCUUGUCCAACUAUGUGGUGGAAAUUAAUCUAUUUAAUGUAAUUCAUUUGAAUUCGUUUAACUGGUUUCUUGAUAUAUGCAGAAGAAGACAAAUGCAUUCUACAUCGUUGCUUCCAUUUUGCUUUUGAUGUUGCUGCUACUUUACUAUCUCUAUAUCUACUUUAUCUACUUGUGAUAAGGUUUUGAUUUUUGUCUUACAGAGGGAUGAAAAGGGAAACUCAAUUGUUGAGGCGCAUCUCUCAAACUGGCAGAAAGAAAAAACCAUCUUAAUGGAUAAAUCUGUCGCCUUCGGAAGUUCUUGCUUCUCUAACACUUUCAGAAUCCAUAGGAGUUUACUAAUCUGUGACAGUGGUUAUUGCACUCCCAAUUUGGCCAUAGGCGAGUGCAGUUGAAGGAGAAGAGCGAGAAAUCCCGCCAAAUCUGCUCCUCAUUUUACAUGUUUGUUGUAAGCUAAUUUCUUUACGGAGACUUAGCAAACACAAAUUUGAGCUGCAGAAUUGAAUUCGCCCUUGGUGGCUUUUGUAUUUAAUUCUAACUGACAUUACUAACAAGAAAAAUUAUACCUUAUCAUCGUGUUCUUUUUGUUUGUUGAAACUUGAUCAGGAUCUAUUUGUAAACUUUUUCAUUGUGUAGCGUCAGUGUAAACUCCUAUUGUAAUGCCUUUCAUUGAAGCUUGGUUCCCCUGAUAAUGGAUGCAGCCCCUUUGGCAAAUAUGCAAACAUUCCCUCUCAGCAAUGCAGGAGGAAGAAGAGGACAAGUAUAUCAACCUAUUACAGCUCAAACUGCUACCAAGAAGUGUAUCCCUUUUCUAAUUGCAUUAAGAGAUAUAAAGCAACACGACAUUACUCAAAGCAUGUGCAGGAGGUUGAUUGGCUUGUAGAGAUUUGCAUAAUGUAAUUUUUCUCAUAUAAUACAAUGUUAUGAAUUAUAGUUGAUAAAUUUAGUAUGGUUGAACAAUACACUAAGGACUAUAGUUAAUGUAUCAGUACAUUUUGUCUAUGUUUUGAAUUAUAUUGACUUGCUUGAUAAAUA